UGUUUAGGCACGUUCUCUGCUAUAUAGGUUGAGCUAUAUUGUCUAUGUGUGAGCACAUUCCGUUACCAUAGCGACCAAAUUCUGAGCACUUGUUAACGAGGGAAACAAAGGUUAGUCCUAGUGAAACUAGUGUUGUUGCAUUGCAAAUGUUAUUUGAAUAUCCGUUUUGUUGCGCUGCAUGCUUUGAACGGUGGGGAGAUUCCCUACGUAAAAUUCUGUUGAAAAGGCCUUUGGGGAUCGCGAACGGGUCACGAAUCCUGAGUGUUCGCACGGUCCUUGUCUUUUUCCCGUUAUAGCGUUUGGAGUAGCUAACCAGACUAGCUAUAUACCCGUUGUGGUUUGGGGAAUUUUAUGCUGAGCUUCGGUGUGUAAGUAGGAGAUUUGGGAAGUCACUGGUCACGAGAACGUGUUCUAUACCGAGAAUCCCUGUGGUACGUCAGUUGAACUCUGAGCUAAAGCGGUAGCUCCCUUGUGUGUGGAAAAAAAAACACAUGGCACCCACGACGGUCCCUAUUUUCGCUUUGUGUUAAAGGCACAAGCCCCUGCGUUGAACAACAUUUGGUCAUUUAGACUUAAGGCUUCGCAAGUUGUCGUAUUUUUAUAACUUUUUAACUUCCGGCUGUGUGACUGAAAGCUGAUUGCUAACUCGCCGCUGCUCACCCGCUAGUAAGCUAUUACCGAAUGUGUGCUAAGGCAUCGCGUUCAUCUUGGGUCGUUGCUUUUGAAACACUAAACGUGGGCUUUCAUAAUGGCACCGGCGUGUGCUUUUUCUGCUGGUAAGCUUCCUGUGUGCGCUGCUCUGCUGCGAGCACCGCGCAACCUAGCGUCAACCGUCGCCUAGCGACCGAACACACUCGAGAGCAGCUAAUCAGUCGCCUCAACUCACAAUUACUAUAAAGGGCAUCUAUUAAUUUAAAACCCUCCGUUUUCCCUCGUUUUUUUGAAACGCCGACGCCGCGAUUGUGUUUUAAAGCUUUAUGCCUGGUAUUUUUAACCAGUUUUGAGAUUUACAACGUGAGACUAUAACGAGUCUCACCAAUGGAAGGCACUGCAUUGCUACAGCAAUACCGCCAUCUUCCGCCAGCAAUCGCGCACUACACCUUUUGACGAUUUACACUGACAACCACUUACAGUAACUAGAGUUACUAAACGGAUCCCUUUUACAAAGUGGAGUUCAGUAACUAAUCGUUUGUCUGUUUUUAAUCACUUUGGGUUUAGAUUCAAAACAUUUUUAAAAACCUAAUUAGAAUUUAAUUUUUCCGAAAUUAUAAAUGUUUUUUUUGGGGGGAAAUUUUUUUUUUUUUUCGAUUCUUGGUUUUUUUGGAUGGCUUUUCCCUCUGUCUAAAGCCCACAACAUUACGAGCCAUACAAGCAAUUAAUUAAUACACAAGCCUAAUUAUAAGUACAUUUGACUUUUACCAAAGUUAAAUAAAACUUAUGUGAAUCAGCUAAAGUCCUAAACUGCUUCACAAAUUCACAAAUUGACUUGCAGUGAUACCCAGCACGCACAGUAAAAUCAAGUUGCUUCACUAAAUGACAACUAAAAUUAAUUUAUGUAUCAAAACUAAAUAAAUAAAUUGGUAAUAUUAGUUUCAAAUUUAGUUAAAAAUGCUGAUUCGCUUCACUCCAUCAAGUGCCCUUCGCAACUAUUUUAAAUCACCAAUUAAAUUGCCAACUCUCACGUAGCCAUUUAAUUUGAUCAAAUACCUUUUGUGCGCAUAGCUUGACGCCAUCAACACUUUUGUGCCACUCGAUCACUGCUUCUACGCACAUUCUCAAACACCUUUUAAAAGUCACGUGAUAAACCCUCACACCAUAAUCUCCGCCAUUUAAUUGUUUCACGAGGAAUUACAUCGCCUCUAUUGUGCCUCUAUUCCAAAGUAGCUGCGCUACUCAAACGAGCCUACGUUACAAACAAUUUCGUUGCGUACUGCUACUGCACACGCAACGCAAUCAUGGCGUAACUUUCACAAAGUCGCAGUCAAUAUGACAAUCUUGGCACGCUGGAAGAGCUCGUCAGUAAUUUAACUAGGGACCGUCUAAUGACCAAGUGCUUGAAUUACGGACCGAACAUCAGCGAGCAACUCUUCUGCUGCGUCAAGCUUCAGGUGACAUCCAGCGGCUCACUGAACGCACCGAAACGCUCAAAGCAGUAUGUUCCAAAGAGAUGAAACAGUCCUACGAGCUCAAGACACAGAUGGCAGUCCGGGAGACAGAGCUGUCCCGCCUCCAGCAACAGCUCCGGGACCAAGAGGAUAAGUUAACCCAUACAGCCUGGGCCCCUCCCUCGCCAGAAGUGUCACAGAGCCCUAAAAAACAUCUCCAACCUUUGGGCCGGAAUCCACCUUCAGGGAAUACCAUCCGGCCUCCUCAUGGGUGGCGGCCCCACCAGCCGCAUCUCGCCUUUUUUACUCACCCCCGGCUCUCCUUCCGCCCACCACCACUCCAGGGCUGGCGUCUGUGGGGGCGGGAUUUUCUUUACUCCUUUGAGGGGAGAUAACCAGGCUGGGCUCCUGGCGUGUGCUUGUGGUGGAUUCAUUCAUGUUCCGCGGGUGCUGGGGUGGUGCCAACAGGCGUCCGUCUUGGUUCCCCGUUCCGGCCGCCGUUACACUUCUGACGUUUAUUGUGCAUCACUUUACUUGCAUGUGUCCGCAGACUACUCCCUCAUUGCUAUAAAUAAAUCAUAACUAUGCAAACUUCCUGGGUAUCCCCUCACUUUGCACUCCGUUUCUAUGGAUCUUUAUACUUUUCAUAGCCACUCCCACCACACUUUCGGUCCACUACCUCUGUCCUGCAUGCUUUCCUCCUGUCUUUGUUCUGUCCAGUCCAAGAUUAUCAUAGUAAAUGAAAACAAACGAAAUAACUAAAAUUGAAAAAAAAAUUUCAUGAAAUAAAAUAAAAACAAAAAUAGUUAUUAAAAAACGAUAACUGAAACUACAUUUGUACCUUUACAACUGAAACUAACAUUGAUUCGAGCAAAAAUGUCCUUAAUUUUUGUCUUUGUCAUUUGAUUUCAUACCUUAGCUUUCGGGGUUGAUUUUGAAUGCAUUUAUUUCGAUACAGCUUUACGGAACAAGGAAGAUCCAACGGUUGUUUGGUAAGUGUAGUUAAUUUACUGUGUCAACUGGAAACGACGUCACCGUACAGCAGUGUCGCGGACAAGCCACUCAAAGAUGCCACCCUGCACCCCCUCGCACUACCGCCGCUCCCAGCCGAGGUAGACAAAUACAGGCUGACGAGACCCAACUUCACAUGCAGACGCAAGACGAAUCAACAGCCAUAAACCAUCAAAAACAAGACACAGACAUUUGCUUUGCCGAUGCUAAGUGAAUUACGGCUGCCUGGCGCUUCAAAGCGGAGACCCAAGGAUGCCGAGGUCGCCCCUGGACACUAAGUUAAUUAACUUCCUGCCAGUCGAAGGUUUGCACCAACAAAGGCGCCUCCACCCCGUUGACUACCGCCACUUGGGAGUUGGAACAGGCAACAGCGACACCCACGGGCGACAGAACGACACUACAGACAUGGGUUCAUAAGACAGUCUGUUACUGGACUGGGAGUUAAUAUUUUAAGAACUUUAUAUGAAUGCCACUAGUGACUGUAUUGCUGCAAACUUGAAUGUCUAAUAUAAAAUCUGUUGUUAACUGAACCAGAUGAAAUGUUUCACCCCACACCACAAAUGUCACAUGGAAAAUGGUAUGAAAGAGGAUGAGCGUGGAACAAUGCAAGGUGAGGAAAUGGUCUCGUUGUCUUAAAUCCAAUAAUUAAUAUUUUAUUCCACUGGUUUUAAACCACAAAAUAAUCCUAAAAUG